rnacentral:lncRNA from 1 species
CGGGGGCGGGGUGGCGCAGGAAGAGCUAGCGCGGGGUGUGGGCGGUGCGGGUGGCACCGGCGCGAGCGCGCGUGGAGGCGGCACUCGGGAGGCAGCGAUCCGAGCUGCAGGCCCUCAAGGGUCCCUCAGGAGUGCGCGACAGGGGCCGGUGGCUCCCGCGCUAUUGCAGAGUGCUCCGCAUGCUGCCAUGUCCCCAUCAUGGCUGAAGGCAGAGGCAGCAGCACAGAGGAGCCUGGAGACAGGAAGACUGAAGGUCCCCUGGAGUCCCUCUGGAUCCUGCACAGAAAGAGGACACUAGGUAAAAUCUGGAGAACCCUGAGUGAACUGUGGACUUUAGUUAAUGAUCUGUCAGCACUGGCUCCCGAACUGUGGUAAAUGCAUCACUAAGACAACAGGCUAACAGCUGGGGCUGGGUGGGCUCAGGGGAAGACUUAGGGUACCCAAGACCCUGGGCUUUGAUUCCUGGGACCACUUCAAAGAGGAGAAAGAAAAGGACGUGGAGGAUCUUUGCUCUGAUGAGGAAAUGUGGAGCAGAGGAGCUUGCGGGCCCCGGGCUGCAGGUCAGAGGGUGCUGGGAGCUGGCCCUGCAUAGCUGCAUAGCUGGGCCAGUGCUGCUGCUGUGCUGCUGCCUGCUAGAGCUGAGGUCUAGCGAGCUGUUCCUCUCUCCUGCUGUCCCAGAUGUGGGUGCUUCCUUCCGCUCCUCCUCCCAGACUGCACCUCAGGUUUACCCUUAACCUGACAUGGUUCGGAGCUAGCUUCUCCAUAGCCGCCACCACGUGGGUCCUACUUGCUGCUGUGGGGGAACAGAUCAGCCCUGCUCACCUGACCAUUUCUGGUUCUGGCGUCUUCUGUUCCCUCUCAAACCUACAGUGUGGCAGAAAGGAAAGGUGGACACUCUCUUGGUGGGGUACCCUUCCUGGUGCGCUCGCUUGGCUGGAGGAUGAAGUGUGAACACAGUCUUGUGGCUUUCCAGAGUGUUUCCUGGCCCCGCCUCUGUCUUCUCAGCCACAGGGCCUACAACGUCCCAUUCCCAGCUGUGGCUUCCCUCCCUCUAGGCAGGCCCAGGAAGUCAGAGCCAUUCUGCUGAGGUGUGGGAGAUGUGACCUCCCCACGCUGCCCUGCCGCCCCGCUGUAGGGGGUUAGCCUCCCCAGCAGCCAUCCCCCUUAUGUAAUCUGCACAUCACACAGGCGUGACUCCAGGUGCCUGUGGGAGGUAGCGCGGGGGUGAGCUCAGGGGCGCAAACAAGCCUCCAAGUUUCCUUGGGUGCCUCUCCUCUUGUUACAUUUCAGCGUCAUCCUGCGUCUGCCAGCUCGGUCACCCACUUGCCUAUUAGAAUAUAUUAACUGACAAUGCAGACUUAAAUAACUUGGGCAGGUGACAGGCUGCAGUGGGGGGGGGCCCUUUGCACCGAAUCCUUCUGCAGUGGGCCAAGUGAAUUCAGAGGACAAUGGGUGGACUGAGGCAGGACAAUGGGCAGGGAGGGGCGGGGUGCGGCCUGCACAACACCAAACUUAAGUUCUGAGAUCCGGUGCCCUUGGCAACAAGGAAAGCCCACCCCAUGGCAGGCACACCCAUGCCUCUGUACACACCCAGCUCGUAGGGUUGUGCCUUAAGUGAAUAAGAGAACUGAACAGAGGUAUCUGUCAUCAGAGCAUGACCGACGGUCUGUGGUGACAGCUCUGAUGGCAGCAGCAGCCUAGGCACAGGCAGUCCCGCCUGUGCCCAUUCGCUCCGCAGAGUGCCCUCCAUAGGCCAAAGUGGUCACUCAGCUUCCUGCUCACUGCGGGUGCUUUCCUGUCCCUUUCCUCUCUUAUUGCUCUGCCUCUUCAAUUAAGUUGCCUUAAAGGUGUCUAAAGGCGUUUUCAGGUUGCGGCAGAGGAAAUAGUUUUCCAGACUCUGGAGUCAAAAGACACCCAGCCCUGAGCCCUGGUGUGUUCCACCGGGUCCUUCCCCACCACACCCCCAUCUCCAGCUGGUCCUGCCAGAGUGAGAAGCCCAGACAUGUACAUACUGCUCCACAUGCUCACAGAUGGCUUCCCUGCUCGGGGCUGACUGCUGCUAAUUUAGGCUGCUGGAGGCUCCGUGUGCGCUCUCUCUCUUUUUAAUUCCGUGUUUAUUUAAAGCCAGAUUUUGAAAUCUUGUCUUCAACUCUGAAAUCUGAAAUCGUCUUGCUGCGAAUCUUACCCCCUCCUCCCGCAUUCCCUUCCCCCAAGCAUGGCGCAAAGUUUAGGGAAGCUUGAACGACUGGCUAGGGUCUCCUUACAGCAGUCCUGUUGUGUCAGCCCAGAGCACAGGAGGUCCCCGGGACAUGCCUGGUGUUUCCAUGUAAACAGGGGAAGCUGUGUGGAGCUUCCUGGUGCUGCAGAAGGGGCAGACCGGGACAGGACUGGCUCAUCGCGUCCACAGUCCUACAACGGGACCUAGUGUGGCCCAGGUAUCUAGGACCCCAGUGCCAAUCCCCCAACUGGCUCUUGGGUUUUCAGAGCUCCUCUUAACCCAUAAAAGCCACAUACAGUGUCUUCCUGCUCUCUGGGGAAUCAAGUCCACCUAGAAGGGACUUCCUGGCUAGGGCUUGCUGGUGUGUUGACACAACACUGGGCUGCCCUCAGGCAGACAGUGCCUGUGUCAGGGCACACACAGUGGGACUCUGUCCCCUCACGGUGGGACCCAGAAGACUCCCUGGCAUGGUGAGUGCUCCAGAGGCACCAGGGCUGCACCCCAUUGCACAACUACCAUCUGCCCUUCUGCCCUUCCACAGCUCCCCUGGAGUGUGGGGAAGGGCUUUGGUGAGGAAUGAUUUUGAGGGAACUGGUCAAGAGCUGAGGUAGAGCCAGUUCCAGGAGGAAUGCCUGCACCUGGAAGGAAGCAGCAGGACUGCCUAAGGCACUGGCCAGAUUCCCACACCAGCCUCUGCCUCUUCCCCACCAGGCAGAGAAAAGGAAGGGUGCCGCUUCCACCCAGAGCCACCUGCAAGGCCUGCCAGGCAGGGCCUUUCUAACAUGGAGAGCGUGAAGAAGAGCCGGGACAGUGAGCCUGGCACGUCUGGUCAGACAGGAAGAUGACUGUGAGGAAAACUGGUGGAGUGCUAAGUUGGGAAUGUCAUUUCUCCAGCAGGCUCACUUCUCUCAAGGUUGAGAGACAGAGAUGUUUGUAGAGUAGUGUAGGAAACUAUCUGUCCCCCACCCUAGCCCCCGUCCCUGCCUGGAAACCAUGACUCUAAAAGAAUAUGCGAGACAUUUCACCCCCUAUCCAACCAAAGGUCGGCUGUACAACCUUUCCAAAUGUCACUCCAACCACUGCUGGCAGAACCCCGGAGAUGCCAAGCACCUCGGUUCUGCUGUCGACUCUCACCCCAAGCUGCAGGGGGGUUUUGUUUGUUUUGUUUUUUGUCUUUUUUGUUUUUCUGCAGGAGCUAACGAAAUUCUUUGUGCACAGCCUGAGGAGUUGGCUUUCUGAGCCUUGGAGCUGCUGGUGUGGGACUCUGGUGUUUUUCCUGCCUUCCUGGGCUCCAAGACAUCCUAAGGAGAAAACCCCAUGCUCAGACACUUAGGCAGGACAGUUCCAGGACACUGGGAUUAAGCGGUGGUACCCGGCAGUUUCCUCAGACAGGUCGGGGCACUGCAUCCACUGCUGCUGUUAACCCGGGAGGUCCAGCGCCUGGCUCCUGGGGGUCCAGCUUGGCUGCCUUUUCCUAGGCCCCCCUCAGGCCUUGGCUCUUACAAUAGACUGCCACUUCUGGGACCCUUGCCUGAGUCUGGCUUCAUCUUUCUGAGGGUUCCCUUCACUGCCCCCUGGUGGCACAUCCAAGAAAGAAGCCCUGCCACUGGACAGGUGAGGGUGGCUGGCAGAAGUAGAGGUGCGCACAGCAGGAGGCGAAGGGCCAGCAGGGGAGUGCAGGGUUGUGUGGUUUGUGAGACCAGGCUGUACCUAGGAAGGGAGAAAUGCAGCAAUAGCAUGCCCUGUCUCCCGAGGAAAGGGAAAACUCCUCCCUUCAGGUAGAGGAGACAGAGGAAGCCGGUAGCUGCCUGGAGAGGGGACAUAGGGGCAGCUCGUGCAUCUAUAAGGCCCGUGCUCCUGGGAAAUACUGCUUCAUGAUGUCUUCAUAGCACCCAGCGACAUCUGCCUACCAACUUCAAAGUCUUUUUUUUUCUUUUUCCCCUGGGUGUUUUGUUGUUGCUGUUUUGGAUUUUGUUGGAUUGGUUUGUUCCUCUUGUUUUUUUUUUUUUUUUUUAAGAGGCUCUCAUGUAGCCCAAACUGGCCUCAAACUUACGGUGUGGUUGAACUUCUUCAUCCUCCCGUUGCUAGGAGCGGGAGUUCUGGGCUUGAAAGUUUGCUGUGAGGCGGAGACAAACACUGUCUCGCUGAGCCACAUGCUCAGCCCAGAACUGAACUUGCAAGGAGCUGGCUGCCAUCUUACACUCUCUUUAGGGAUCCAGGAGGCUGCCAGCUUCCCUAGCUCCUCCUCAACACGCCUUUCCCCCUGUUAAUUUCAACCAUAGCCAGCCUGGUGAGCAUGUGACAGCUGCUGAGUUUAGUUCUGGUUUCCCUGGUGGCUGAUGAGGAGUCUGUCAGCCCCUUCCUUCCUGGGUCUCUGUUGUCCAUGACGAUGAUGAUGAUGAUGACGACUGAUUUUAUUCCAUUGAGAACUUCACACGUGAACACUAAACAUACAUGACUCCUAACACAUACAUACAUGAACACUGAACAUACAUGACCCCUAAUUCUUGCUCCUUCCAACUCAACUCCUCCCCCCACAUUCAUGACCUUUAAUCACCAUUGUUACAUAUUUAAUGUGUACAUAAACAUAUGCACACACAUAAUAACCCACUAGGUCCAUUCUGCUUUGAUUAUACAUAUAUACGUCCCUGCUGACCUCUUGGAACUGGCCAAGAGUCUUCUCUUUUUAAAAAAGAGCCACAGCCUCUACCCCAGAGAGCUAUGUGGGAAGGAGAUUGUGGGUGCCCGGAGACAACCGGCUUGCACCUGGCCACAGCUCGCAAUCUUCACUCUUGAUGAAGCAUGACAGAUGCCCACUGACACAGACACAUGAGUGAGGUGAGGGAAAGUCCCCACCUGCUCCUUACAGACACCUGUGAGAGCCCAGGCACGGACAGGGCCAUUCCCUGCAGCUGACAGCACCCCAGGACUGAGGGGUGGAGUAGCUGAGCCUCACUCACAGGGUGCUGGAAGGGGAACAGUGACCCUGGGCAGGGUGGGUGUCCCCAGUUACAGGCCUGAUGAUGGGGUAGUACACACCUCCUUCCCAUAGGUAGCAACUAUGCCUGCUGUACCUGGCAAGAACGGGCUUGUUGAAGAGCCACAGAAGCUAACCCUGCUCUGCUCUGCGCUGCUCUGCUCUGAGGACCAGCACCUUCAUACCCCACUACCACCCUCCCUCCGUAGCCCUUGCUAACCUGGGGUUGCUGCUCUCACCACAUCCUGCACAGAGCCUCCCACACGUCAUUGUCCCUGUAAGCAAGGGAUCUUAGGCUGUCCUGCCUUGGGGGACUCCCACACUAGUGAGGUCAGAGGGCAGCUUGCCCAAGUUCAUUCCCUCCUACCAUUGGAGUCCCAGUCAGACUCAAGGCCUCCCACCACUGGCCCAGCAGAAAGUUGUGUGUGUGUUUGAGACCUGGUCUCUGUGUAGCCCUGGCUAUCCUGGAACUUGCUAUGUAGACCAGGCUGGCUUCGAAUUCAGAGAUCCACCCAUCCCUGUCUCCAGUGCUGGAAUGAAAAAUGAGCACCACCAUGCCCAGUAGAGUCUCCGCUCUCAUCUUGUCAAAUGUCCCUGAGAUCUCGAGCUGAAAUGAGGACAGUAUAAACUAAUUCUAAGCACUUGUCACAAAAGCAAGGGUGGUGGCAGUCAGAGGCUGAGUAACAGGGCGUGGGGCUGGCAGCAGGGUGCAGGGCCAGCAUCCUCGAGAAGUGCCUUUCCUGCAGGGUUGUGGCUCAGGUAGUCAUUCCCAAGAACUCAUUGGCUCUAGGCUUUGAGCCCCUGGCAGGCACUUAGAGGGGAGGAAAUGCCUGUGGCUAGCUCAGGCUGGGCCAAGGGAGUUUCCACCAUCCCUCCCAGUUCCAGCAGCAGUGAGAUCCCAGGGCCUCUGGCCACAUUGGGCCACAACAGCAGCUUCAUUCCUAGGCGACGGUCUGAGUCACCAUCUGUGGGCUCUGGCUCCUCACCAGCUGGGCUUGCAGCCUUAAGUUUGCCACAGUUUGGCCUCAGCUGAGUCUCCAUCACCACUUCGGCCAUUUUUCUCUGCUGUUUCCUUUCUUUAAGCAGAAAUGUGAUGCAAAUGGGUUCCAGGUCUGUGCCUGCUGUCACCCGCACACACUUCCAGGGCUGAUGUCAUGGGUUAGAUUCUGGUGGUGCCAGGUCAGAGGCCCCCCACACACUAUCACUUGUUGGCCACUGCAGGGCUUUGCAAAUAAAGUUUUGGUUUUUUACUGUCUUUAAAAUGUUCAAUUUAUGUAUAGGAGUAUUUCCCUUGCAUGUAUGUGUGUGCACCACAAGAGUGCCUGGUGCCCUCAGAGGUCAGAAAAGGGCAUUAGAUUCUCUAGACACACGGGGUCCUGGGAACUGAACCUGGGUCCUCUGCAAGAGCAACAUGUGCUCUUAACUGCUGAGCCAUCUCUCCAGUCCCUGUUUGUUUUUGAGACAGCCCAGGCUGGCCUCAUAAUCACUACAGAGUCAAGGAUGACCUUGAUCUGGUCCUCCUACCUCUGCCUCUUGAAUGCUGGGAUCACACUUGGGGCUGGGAAUAGGGCUCACUUUGCACGCUGAGCCAGCUCCCCGGGCCCUGUAAGUGAAAUUGACUUAGAGUCCGGCCAUGCCUGUGCACACUUCUUCCUGUCACUGCAGAGUUCAGACACGCAGGC